GCUGGUUUGGCUCAGUGGAUAGAGCGUUGGCCUGCAGAGCAAAGGGUCACGGAUUCAAUUCCGGUCAAGGGCA
rnacentral:tRNA from 1 species